UAACAUAGCGGCCCACUUGAUAUUGAGU
rnacentral:sRNA from 1 species